GGAGGGUCACCCCAGCUCUCAGUGACAGGCGUGCCAAGGCCACAUCACAGGCCCAGCCCUUGGCACUGUGACAUUGCCACAGCUCCCGUCAAGAAGAGGAGGUCCUGGGAUCUGGAUUUGGACUGACCCCAUAACUGGCUUGGAGCACUACAAGGAAGCGAAAGUGGCGAUGGACCCAUUCUGAGGUGGUACAGCCAGCAGCUGUCCAAACAUGUCGGUGAGGCUGUAGUGUGCCGAUCUACUCCAGCUGACUGCGGCUUCAUCAGUGACCCCAGGAGAGACCAGCCAAGAAUCAAGCAUCCCAGCGCAGCUUCACC
rnacentral:lncRNA from 1 species